rnacentral:rRNA from 1 species
GAUGAACGCUGGCGGCGUGCCUAAUACAUGCAAGUCGAGCGAAUGGAUUAAGAGCUUGCUCUUAUGAAGUUAGCGGCGGACGGGUGAGUAACACGUGGGUAACCUGCCCAUAAGACUGGGAUAACUCCGGGAAACCGGGGCUAAUACCGGAUAACAUUUUGAACCGCAUGGUUCGAAGUUGAAAGGCGGCUUCGGCUGUCACUUAUGGAUGGACCCGCGUCGCAUUAGCUAGUUGGUGAGGUAACGGCUCACCAAGGCAACGAUGCGUAGCCGGGCUGAGAGGGUGAUCGGCCGCACUGGGACUGAGACACGGCCCAGACUCCUACGGGAGGCAGCAGUAGGGAAUCUUCCGCAAUGGGCGAAAGUCUGACGGAGCAACGCCGCGUGAGUGAUGAAGGCUUUCGGGUCGUAAAGCUCUGUUGUUAGGGAAGAACAAGUGCUAGUUGAAUAAGCUGGCACCUUGACGGUACCUAACCAGAAAGCCACGGCUAACUACGUGCCAGCCGCCGCAGUAA